UACGUAGGGUGCGAGCGUUGUCCGGAAUUAUUGGGCGUAAAGAGCUCGUAGGCGGUUUGUUGCGUCGGCCGUGAAAACCUGCAGCUUAACUGUGGGCCUGCGGCGGAUACGGGCAGACUUGAGUUCGGUAGGGGAGACUGGAAUUCCUGGUGUAGCGGUGAAAUGCGCAGAUAUCAGGAGGAACACCGGUGGCGAAGGCGGGUCUCUGGGCCGAUACUGACGCUGAGGAGCGAAAGCGUGGGGAGCGAACAGG
rnacentral:rRNA from 1 species